AGAGUUUGAUCCUGGCUCAGGAUGAACGCUGGCGGCGUGCCUAACACAUGCAAGUCGAACGGGGUUAAGUGAAAUUUUCGGAUGGAUCUUAACUUAGUGGCGGACGGGUGAGUAACGCGUGGAUAACCUGCCUCACACAGGGGGAUAGCAGCUGGAAACGGCUGGUAAUACCGCAUAAGACCACGGCCCCGCAUGGGGCUGUAGUAAAAGAUUUAUCGGUGUGAGAUGGAUCCGCGUCUGAUUAGCCAGUUGGCGGGGUAACGGCCCACCAAAGCGACGAUCAGUAGCCGGCCUGAGAGGGUGAACGGCCACAUUGGGACUGAGACACGGCCCAAACUCCUACGGGAGGCAGCAGUGGGGAAUAUUGCACAAUGGGCGCAAGCCUGAUGCAGCAACGCCGCGUGAGUGAAGAAGUAUUUCGGUAUGUAAAGCUCUAUCAGCAGGGAAGAAAGGCUCUUCGGAGAGAUGACGGUACCUGACUAAGAAGCCCCGGCUAACUACGUGCCAGCAGCCGCGGUAAU
rnacentral:rRNA from 1 species